GGAGAGUUGGCAGAGUGGUCGAAUGCGGCGGUCUUGAAAACCGCUAGAUCCGCAAGGGUCUCGGGGGUUCAAAUCCCUCACUCUCCGCCA
rnacentral:tRNA from 2 species